AACGAACGCUGGCGGCAGGCUUAACACAUGCAAGUCGAGCGCCCCGCAAGGGGAGCGGCAGACGGGUGAGUACCGCGUGGGAACGUACCUUUUGGUUCGGAACAACUCCGGGAGACUGGAGCUAAUACCGGAUAAGCCCUAACGGGGAAAGAUUUAUCGCCGAAAGAUCGGCCCGCGUCUGAUUAGCUAGUUGGUGAGGUAACGGCGCACCAAGGCGACGAUCAGUAGCUGGUCUGAGAGGAUGAUCAGCCACACUGGGACUGAGACACGGCCCAGACUCCUACGGGAGGCAGCAGUGGGGAAUAUUGGAAAAUGGGCGGAAGCCUGAUCCAGCCAUGCCGCGUGAGUGAUGAAGGCCUUAGGGUUGUAAAGCUCUUUUGUCCGGGAAGAUAAUGACUGUACCGGAAGAAUAAGCCCCGGCUAACUUCGUG
rnacentral:rRNA from 1 species